rnacentral:rRNA from 1 species
UGGGGAAUAUUGCACAAUGGGGGAAACCCGUGAUGCAGCGACGCCGCGUGAAGGAAGAAGUAUCUCGGUAUGUAAACUUCUAUCAGCAGGGAAGAAAAUGACGGUACCUGACUAAGAAGCCCCGGCUAACUACGUGCCAGCAGCCGCGGUAAUACGUAGGGGGCAAGCGUUAUCCGGAUUUACUGGGUGUAAAGGGAGCGUAGACGGAAGAGCAAGUCUGAUGUGAAAGGCUGGGGCUUAACCCCAGGACUGCAUUGGAAACUGUUUUCCUAGAGUGCCGGAGAGGUAAGCGGAAUUCCUAGUGUAGCGGUGAAAUGCGUAGAUAUUAGGAGGAACACCAGUGGCGAAGGCGGCUUACUGGACGGUAACUGACGUUGAGGCUCGAAAGCGUGGGGAG